GUGCUCGCUUCAGCAGCACAUACACUAAAAUUGGAGCGAUACAGGGAAGAUUAGUAUGGUCCCCGCACAAGGAUGACACACAAAUUUGUGAAGCAUUCCAUAUAUUU
rnacentral:snRNA from 1 species